UACGAAGGGGGCUAGCGUUGUUCGGAAUCACUGGGCGUAAAGCGCACGUAGGCGGAUCUUUAAGUCAGGGGUGAAAUCCCGAGGCUCAACCUCGGAACUGCCUUUGAUACUGGGGAUCUCGAGUCCGGGAGAGGUGAGUGGAACUGCGAGUGUAGAGGUGAAAUUCGUAGAUAUUCGCAAGAACACCAGUGGCGAAGGCGGCUUACUGGUCCGGUUCCGACGCUGAGGCGCGAAAGCGUGGGGAGCAAACAGG
rnacentral:rRNA from 1 species